rnacentral:tRNA from 1 species
AGGUCGUUAGUUUAAGUAAAACAUUUGAUUUCGGCUCAAAAACUUGUGGUUAAUGUCCGCAACAACCUA